rnacentral:rRNA from 1 species
UACGGAGGGGGCGAGCGUUAUUCGGAAUUAUUGGGCGUAAAGGGCGCGUAGGCGGCUUGACAAGUCAAAGGUGAAAUCCCUCAGCUUAACUGGGGAACUGCGUCUGAUACUGAGUGGCUUGAGCGCAGGAGAGGAAUGCGGAAUUCCAGGUGUAGCGGUGAAAUGCGUAGAUAUCUGGAGGAACACCGGUGGCGAAGGCGGCAUUCUGGACUGUAACUGACACUGAGGAACGAAAGCCAGGGGAGCAAACGGG